GUUAGGGCCGUGUCAACUGUAGCCAGUGGUUGCGGCUCCCUCAGUCUGGCGUCAUCUAGGUCGCUGCUCAGGGAAAUGCGGAGGCCAGUAGGCUUACGUGUUUACCGCGUAGGGCAAAGCCUUGCCAAAUUCCCGGCCAGCGGAGCGGCGAGGGUGGGGACUCACGGGAAGUUAAACAGCCUCGUCGGCGUCCUCGAGGCUCCAAAACCAGGCUCUAGGCGGGGACGACUGCAGCCGUUAUGGAGGCCACCGCGGCUACGGCCGCGGCUGAGGCCUCCCCAGGUGGAGCGGUGGCCUGGAGGGGAAUCUUGAUCCUGGGCCAGCCACCUGUCAAGAGGAGGCGGAGCGUCAUGCCUCUGGAAGACUGGAUGAAUAUUCUCCAGGAGCCUGACGAAGGCGAAGAAGUCUUUGCAGAGGAAAUUGAAUGCUGUCUGAUGCUACAAUUCAUAUGGAUCCUUUCCUGGAUUGAAGCCUGACUUUUAAAAAAGGUUUCAAUAAAUUGCUUAUACCUAUGAAGAGAUGCAAAAGAACCUUCAAAAUAAAGCAAAGGACUUGAAGAAAGAGAAGGAAGACAUGAAGAAGAGGAUGUCAUUUAGGUGAAGGGCCAUGCUGGAUAAGGAGCUGGCUGCCUCUGUGAACAUCCUACUCAAGGCAUCUUCACUGCUGUACAUCCUUUUGAAAUCCCAGAGAUCUUCAGUCUCCCUGUGGAUUAAGGAGAUGUGCAGUAUUUAAAGUGGCUUCAGGAAGGCAUGGAAGAGGACUGAGUGGGGAAAGCUUUUUGUGCAUGCUGCUGGCUACCUCCAGCGGCUGCCUCCAGCCUCCAUCAGCUGCACUCUGGGGAAGAGGAGGCUGCCUUCUACCUCCCAGCAUCUCUGGAUUUCAUGUUCCUGUCAGCACAGAGGAGCUAAAUGGCCUGUAGAGGCUGAAGGUCUGAGGCUCCUAAAGCUGGAAGAAAAGGCUGGGCCAGUCAGGCCAAGCAAGAACACAGUGUAACUUGUCUCUGAGUGCUUCAUGGUUAAGGGGGCUAAGCAGGCACAAGGGCAUGAGGAUGGUUAUAUGUACAGACUGAGGGGAAGAAGCAGUGAAGAUGAGACUUGCCAUCUUCUUGAGUCAGUAGGCCUGCCUCAGGUGCCUAGGAUGUAAUUGCUCUGCUGCUUCUCAUGGGGAGGAGUGGCCCUCAUGACCUUGUUUACCUGGAAGAGUGUGGGAUGAAUGCCUCCUCCUAUGGGGACUCGCAAGUGCUUUAGCAAAAGGAUAAAUUGCUAAUUGUGGCAUUUCGUGGAUCAGCAGGAUUAUUUCUCCUUGCUAAAGAGGAUUUUGUUGGUCCUGAAUUCUGAGGAGGUGGGACUAGGAAUGGGCUCCAUGAGCCUGUGUAUGACUCAGGGAAUAUUAGGACUUUGGCACAGCCUCAUGGGUUGGGAGUAAGUCUUGGCUCUUCCCUAGCCUGAAUGACAGACAUCAGAUCAUUCUGGUGCUUUGUCCAUGAAGAUGUAGAUUCUGAGCCCACCCAACUAAUCUUUUCACUUGAGCACAGAAACAGCCCCGGGAAUCGGACAGACCCGUGUCUUUCAGGUUUGCUUCACAGAGCCCCAGGGGUUGACAAUAGGUGCCUUGGAGACUGCCUGCAUGGGGAUUUUUAAAAAGCUUUCUUUGUUAAAGGUUUGUAAACCACUCCUCUGAGCCUGUUUUCAUUUUAUAGAUUAUUCAGGGAACUGAACUGCACAGAGAUCCAGAAAGUGGGUAGUGCAGGCUGUAGUGCUGAUAACUACUGUACUACUUGGAUCUUUGUGCUCCCAAAUACCAAAUGGAAGAGGAUCUCUGAGAGUCCUUUGCAAAGAUCUUGUAGGGACUUUAGGCUGGGGCCUUCGGAAAAUUCCAGAGGAUUCCAAUGGAGAUUUUGAGGGACUGACUCAGAAGAACAAAGAGAAUGAUAAUGGUGAUGUCCCUGCUUUUUACAACAGAUCAUGUUCUGAUAUAUAUGCAAAUCUGUGUAAAGUAAACCCUACCUAAAAUGUACUGGGGACCCAAGAUGGACUGCCUGUAUUGCUUCCAGGAUAAAGUCCAAUUUCUAGCUCUGGUUUUUAUAACCUUGCUUCAGCUCACCUUUUCCGUCAUCAUCCCCUCCAUCUCCUCUCCCACGCUGGGAAAUGGAUGGCUGCACUAUACUGUGUGAUGUUAUUGCUAUGUUCAUGCCAUCCCCUCUGCCUGGAAUGCCCUUCUGCAUGAAUGCCUGUGAAAUGUUGUUGCUCCUUUGUAUGGCCUGGCUUCCGUGGUUGGCAGGAAUCUCUUCUUUCGUGGUAUUCCUGUCAUCUUUGUGCAUCACAGUCAGCUUUGUAUUCCUAGCUUGUAAGCUACUUGAGGAUAGGGGCAUGUCUGAAUCUAUUUAAUCUCUUGCACCUGUUUGGCAAAUUGAUGUUUUAAGUAUUUAAAUAACUAAAGCUCUCUCUACAGUACAUACUCACUUUUGAUUUAUGAAUUGGCAAAAUUCAACUUUUUUCCUUGAAUAUUCUUAAAGUGAGAUGAAUUCCAAAGGAGAGUGUUCUGUGUGUGGCCUUCAUUGAGUGGUUUUCUGUUACCAGAAAGCUCUUGGUGGCCUUCCUCUUCCCUGGUGUCAAGGUUGACUGUUAUAGGAAAUGGGAGGGGAGAGGGCCGUUUCUGCCACGCAUUGUCCUAGGUUCUUAACAUUAUUUAAUCCUUAUAAUGCAAUGUUAUCCUCAUUUUACAGAUGAAACCUGAGACCAAAGAACAUGUAACACAUAAAGUACAUUGCAGAGUUAGGAUGUGAACCCAACUCUGAUUCUAAACCUAAUGCUCUCACUCUUUCAUUCAGAGGUUCAGUCAGUUCUUUGUAGGCUGUAGAUCCAGAGAAGCUGCCGUAGCCAACAAUGAAGUUGUUAGUUUUUAAAACAUCUAUGUGGUAAGUUGGUCUGGCACUUAAAAAUGUAUUGUUUCCCAGGCACGGUGGUUCACACCUGUAAUCCCAGCAUUUUGGGAGGCCGAGGCAGGCGGAUCAUUAGGUCAAAAGAUUGAGACCAUCCUGACCAACAUGGUGAAACCCCGUCUCUACUAAAAGUACAAAAAUUAGCUGGGUGUGGUGGCGCAUGCCUCUAGUCCCAGCUACCUGGGAGGCUGAGGCAGGAGAAUUGCUUGAACCCAGGAGGCAGAGGUUGCAGUGAGCCAAGAUCAUGCUACUGCACUACAGCCUGGCAACAAAGCGAGACUCUGUCUAAAAUAUAUAUAUAUAUAUAUAUUGUUUACUACUCACCACAGAUCUGCAGGAGUUCACUGAUCUCUAGGAUCUGCCUUAACUCCAACUUACAUGUUUUGGUCACUAUUACAAACUGUCAUCCCAGAAUGAUGCUGCAGAGGCUAGGGCUAGGACACAGACCAGUGUUUCCAUGUGGGAAUUCCCUCCCAGUAUUUCUUAGGAAAUGUAUGUUUUUUGAAUCCAUAAUCCCUAGAAAAAUCAGUUGAGGAAAUGAGAAGUAUUGUAAUUAUUCUGUGAAUAGUAACACUUACCAUUAUGGAGACAUCACUAGUUUGAAAGAAUCCAACUUCAUCAAAUAUUAACGUACCGAGUUGAAGGCUACAAGAACUGAGACAGGAGCAUAGCAGAGAGAAACGGUCACCAUCUCAUUAGCCCUAUUUUUGGUUGUUGUGAUGCCAUUACAUCUGUAUAUCUGGCCAUAUCAGCUGCUAAUGGUGAGUUCUUGCAAACAAAAUGAUUUGAUAAACAACCUACCAUACUUUAUACAAAUCUUAUGGUGUUCCGAGAAAUAAACUUUGGAAGCAAAAUAA
rnacentral:lncRNA from 1 species